AAGUGUAUGUGUUAGGUUAGUCGGAUGAACUCUAAGUAUAUUUAUUAGAGUCUGAACAAAUUUGAUAUAUGUUUCUGACUGAAUUCUAAGUGUAUAGUUUAGAACUCUGUCGAUUUGGAGAUGUUCUGGACUGGGUUUAGUUUAACGACUUUACGGUCGUUUGGAUUUGAUUGUUUAGUUUAACGACUUCACGGUAGUUUGAAUUUGGGUUUAGUUUAGCAACUUUACGGUCGUUUGAUUUUAGGUUUAAUUUAACGACUUUACGGUCGUUUGAUUUUGGGUUUAGUUUAACGACUUUACGGUCAUUUGGAUUUGAUUGUUUAGUUUAACGACUUUACGGUCGUUUGAUUUGACGGAUUAGUUUAGCGUCUUUGCGGUCAUUUGAUUUGAUUGUUUAGUUUAACGACUUUGCGGUCGUAGGUUUUAUUUGUGGACUUUGGGGUUUUGGCAUUUUAUUUGU
rnacentral:lncRNA from 1 species